GGCCUGAUGGUCUAGUAGUAUGAUUCUCCCUUCGGGCCGGCUACCCGGAGUCACAAGACUUCAUCCUUGGGAGAGGUCCCGGGUUCAAUUCCCGGUCAGGCCC